AGAGUUUGAUCCUGGCUCAGAUUGAACGCUGGCGGCAUGCCUUACACAUGCAAGUCGAACGGUAACAGGGAGCUUGCUCCGCUGACGAGUGGCGAACGGGUGAGUAAUACAUCGGAACGUGCCCAGUAAUGGGGGAUAGCUCGGCGAAAGCCGGAUUAAUACCGCAUACGCCCUGAGGGGGAAAGUGGGGGACCGCAAGGCCUCACGUUAUUGGAGCGGCCGAUGGCUGAUUAGCUAGUUGGUAGGGUAAAGGCCUACCAAGGCGACGAUCAGUAGCUGGUCUGAGAGGACGAUCAGCCACACUGGGACUGAGACACGGCCCAGACUCCUACGGGAGGCAGCAGUGGGGAAUUUUGGACAAUGGGGGAAACCCUGAUCCAGCAAUGCCGCGUGUGCGAAGAAGGCCUUCGGGUUGUAAAGCACUUUUGUCAGGGAAGAAAUCCUUUGGGCUAAUACCCUAGGGGGAUGACGGUACCUGAAGAAUAAGCACCGGCUAACUACGUGCCAGCAGCCGCGGUAAUACGUAGGGUGCAAGCGUUAAUCGGAAUUACUGGGCGUAAAGCGUGCGCAGGCGGUUGUGUAAGACAGGUGUGAAAUCCCCGGGCUUAACCUGGGAAUUGCAUUUGUGACUGCACGACUAGAGUGUGUCAGAGGGGGGUGGAAUUCCACGUGUAGCAGUGAAAUGCGUAGAUAUGUGGAGGAACACCAAUGGCGAACGCAGCCCCCUGAGAUAACACUGACGCUCAUGCACGAAAGCGUGGGGGAGCAAACAGGAUUAGAUACCCUGGUAGUCCACGCCC
rnacentral:rRNA from 1 species